rnacentral:rRNA from 1 species
UACUACAAGCGCUAGCUUAAAACCCAAAGGACUUGGCGGUAUCUCACACCCACCUAGAGGAGCCUGUUCUAUAACCGAUAAUCCCCGUUAAACCUUACCACCUCUUGCCAUUACCGUCUAUAUACCGCCGUCGUCAGCUCACCCUAUGAAGGAUAAAAAGUAAGCAAAAUGAAUAAAACUCCAAAACGUCAGGUCGAGGUGUAGCAAAUGAAGUGGAAAGAAAUGGGCUACAUUUUUUUAUAAAAACAUAUACGAAUGGUAAACUGAAAAACACCUAAAGGUGGAUUUAGCAGUAAGAAGAGAUCAGAGUACUCUUCUGAAAUCGGCCCUGAGAUAAGCACACACCGCCCGUCACUCUCCUUAAUAAAUAACCUACUUUUCUAUAAACACACUCUCUUAACAAGAGGAGGCAAGUCGUAACAUGGUAAGUGUACUGGAAAGUGCACUUGGAAUCAAAA